rnacentral:rRNA from 1 species
UCAUGCAAGUCGAGCGAACAGAUAAGGAGCUUGCUCCUUUGACGUUAGCGGCGGACGGGUGAGUAACACGUGGGUAACCUACCUAUAAGACUGGGAUAACUUCGGGAAACCGGAGCUAAUACCGGAUAACAUUUGGAACCGCAUGGUUCUAAAGUGAAAGAUGGUUUUGCUAUCACUUAUAGAUGGACCCGCGCCGUAUUAGCUAGUUGGUAAGGUAACGGCUUACCAAGGCGACGAUACGUAGCCGACCUGAGAGGGUGAUCGGCCACACUGGAACUGAGACACGGUCCAGUCUCCUA